rnacentral:misc_RNA from 1 species
GCAGCCAUCAUCACUAUAAACACUAUAAGCGAGAUUGGGUGCCACAGGAGGCUCAAGAACACGAUUAUUAGUAUUAUUAUGGCGUAAUUCAUGCGAAAGUAGGCGGCGUUCGUCUUCACUCGAGCCAGAGCUUCUGAUAGAUUUGCAGGGAGCCUCAAAGAAUGGAAAUUGAACAUUAUUUUCCAUGGUCUGCGAGUACCUAGUCCCUCUUUGAUCCUUUCUUUGGCUCGAGAUAUGUACGCGAGGUUCGUGGUGGCUCCCGGAGACGACGAGGUUGGGAUUGUGCCGUAUGUGGUCAUUUUCCGGUGGAGUUUUUGUUGGGUAUCGAGGUUUGACCUGUUGGUGAUGGCGUCAAAGAGAGAACGUUACGUGGGAGGGUGA